UCUCUGGAGGACUAGUGGUUAGGCCUUGGCGCUCUCACUGCCGUGGCCCGGGUUCGAUUCCCAGCCAGGGAA
rnacentral:tRNA from 1 species